rnacentral:lncRNA from 1 species
GGAAGACGAGUCAAUUAUAGGGUGCCAAGUAGCACCUUUUGACUUUUCAACAAAAUGGAGAUUAUCUCCUUUAUCUCGUCUCUUUCUGCAUAUUUCCAGAGAGCACGACCAAAUAAUACCCCUAACAUCACCCUUAAGCUCUCUACAAGUGUUUCAAAUAAUACCAUCAUCCCGGGCACGAAAUCACGAAGCAAUAACACAAGAACGAUCCCCACAACGUAAGUAUUGCUAUAUAACCUUUCUUUUUCUUUAUAGUUUGAGUGUUGGAAGGUAUUUAAUAGUUAAGAAAAUUCUUAAUUUUUGGUUUUAAGCUCUUAAAUAUCAAGUAAGGUUGAUUAAUUCAUUUCAUAAUAUUUAGAACUCACGGGAAGGUGAUAUGAAGCCGUGAGUUCGAGUUAUUUGAUUUGUAAUGGACUGUUUUGUGGGCUAUUUCGUGUAGCUUUUGGGCUGUAUAUUUUGCUGAUAUUUAAUGGAGUUUUUGGAGGAUAAAUUGUUUGAAGAAACACCACAUAUUUGUGAAAUAAUGGACUAGUCAUUCUUUGUAAUAUUUUCGGGGUGUUGGACACUAUUAUAGUCGUUGUUUUUGGUAUGAAUUGAUUGGGGUGUGUUGGGCUGUUGUAAGCUAAAUAUAAUAUAGAUUUCGACUUGCAUCUACUGUAGGAGGUAAUUAUAUUGUGUUCCAACAAGUUCUUAAGGUUAUAUUGACAUCGGUUGAGUUAAAUGGAUGAACUAGACAUGAACUAGUGAAUAAAGUUGCUAAUUAAGAAUAAUUGGAGUUGUGGAUCAUUUUCUUUGUUAUGGAUAUAUGGUAUAAGGUUGGAAUUAUUGAUGAAUGACUUCAUUAUCAUGUUAAUGAUACUAUUAAUUUAAAGUAAAAAGUCUAUAAGGGAUGAUAAGGGAUAUACGAAUUCCAAUUGGAGCUUGUCGCUCGUCGUAAAAUAGUUAUGACUUGUUGUUUUAUGGUGUCUUGUUAUUGAUAAUUGGUAUUGAUGGAUUUCUCUGGUAAUUGUUGUUGGUAUAUGGUAUUAGAGCAGGCUCUUGUUACUGGGGAGAUGCUGCCCGAAUUUAUAUAAAUGAGCUACAAGUUUAAGUUGCAAACUUAGCCUUUAUUCAACACUAAUUUUGAAUCUCCUUAUGCAAUGGUAGAUUGAGUUGAGUUGUUUGAAGAGUUGCUUAAGAUGUAUUAAGAACUCACCAUGGUUAAGGUAUGUUAAGGCACUUCCCUCUUUCUUUUGGCAUGAUCUAAAGUGAAAUGAAUACACUAUUUCGUAACAGAUCUACUCCAAGAAACUAAGGUUGUCCAUGUUGUUCUUUCCUUAUAAAGUUAUUCUAAGCAAGUAUGUAUGAUCCUUGAAUCCUAUAGAAGCUCAUAUUGAUGGUAUGAUGUCCAUAAUGUUAAUCGAAGGUGCAACGACAUUAAGUCACUCCAAAAGGUUUAGAACGUGAUUCCAUGAGUUUAGCAUGCAUUAUAUAUAAUAUCUAUUUUACUCUACCGAGCCGCACUAUAGUAGGCCGGGUACGACAUAUAUUGUGUAACCAAUGAUCAGUUGGAUUUACCGAGCUCCACGUGACCGAGUAUGAUUCUACCAAGCCUUAUGAUGGCCGGGUACGUUUUUACCGAGUCCUCUUUGAGGCCGGGUACGAUAUGAUGAUGAUGAUGAUGCCUACAGACGCGUAUGUUUUUAAAAGUUUAUGUAUAUAUAUAUAUAUGUGUGUGUAUUACACAUUUCAUGUCAGUAGCCCACAGAGGCACGCAGAUGUUACAGGUUGUAUCUGCUCUAUCUCUCUUUAUAUUACUAUUCUUGUUUAUGCUUUCUUGCUUUACAUACUCGGUACUUUAUUGGUACUGACAUCCCUUUUGCCUGGGGACGUUGUGUUUCAUGCCCGCAGGUCCCAAUUGAUAGGUUGACAUUCCUCCUAGUAGGCUAUUAGCUCAGCGAAGGUGUUGGUGUACUCCACUUGCUCCGGAGUUGCCUAUUUCGUCAGUAUGCUUUAGAUAUAUAUUGAUUGACAUGGUGGGGCCCUGUCUCGACCUUUAUGAUUUUAUGUACUCUUAGAGGCUCGUAGACAUAUGUUAUGUAUAUGAAAAUCAUAUGGCCUUAUCGGCCUAUGUUCAGUGUAUGAGUUAUCACUUUGGUUUUAUAGGCACGUAUGUCACAUGUAUAAGUUUUCAUGUCAUGUCAGGUCGUCCAAUAUUUAGUAUUCCCUUAUAUUUUAUUUUUGUUAUCUCAUGACGACCUUUCUAGGCUAUUUGCCCAUGAUAUUAUGAUAUGACAGAUACGUUAUGUUGGUACUCGGUUAAGUAAGGUACCGGGUGCCUGUCGCGGCCCGUUGGAUUGGGUCGUGACAGAAAAAGAAGAAAAGAAGGAACGAGAGAUAAAGGGA